GGGUUGUGAGGUUAAGCGACUAAGCGUACACGGUGGAUGCCCUGGCAGUCAGAGGCGAUGAAGGACGUGCUAAUCUGCGAUAAGCGUCGGUAAGGUGAUAUGAACCGUUAUAACCGGCGAUUUCCGAAUGGGGAAACCCAGUGUGAUUCGUCACACUAUCAUUAACUGAAUCCAUAGGUUAAUGAGGCGAACCGGGGGAACUGAAACAUCUAAGUACCCCGAGGAAAAGAAAUCAACCGAGAUUCCCCCAGUAGCGGCGAGCGAACGGGGAGCAGCCCAGAGCCUGAAUCAGUGUGUGUGUUAGUGGAAGCGUCUGGAAAGGCGCGCGAUACAGGGUGACAGCCCCGUACACAAAAAUGCACAUACUGUGAGCUCGAUGAGUAGGGCGGGACACGUGGUAUCCUGUCUGAAUAUGGGGGGACCAUCCUCCAAGGCUAAAUACUCCUGACUGACCGAUAGUGAACCAGUACCGUGAGGGAAAGGCGAAAAGAACCCCGGCGAGGGGAGUGAAAAAGAACCUGAAACCGUGUACGUACAAGCAGUGGGAGCACAGAGCAAUCUGUGUGACUGCGUACCUUUUGUAUAAUGGGUCAGCGACUUAUAUUCUGUAGCAAGGUUAACCGAAUAGGGGAGCCGAAGGGAAACCGAGUCUUAACUGGGCGUUAAGUUGCAGGGUAUAGACCCGAAACCCGGUGAUCUAGCCAUGGGCAGGUUGAAGGUUGGGUAACACUAACUGGAGGACCGAACCGACUAAUGUUGAAAAAUUAGCGGAUGACUUGUGGCUGGGGGUGAAAGGCCAAUCAAACCGGGAGAUAGCUGGUUCUCCCCGAAAGCUAUUUAGGUAGCGCCUCGUGAAUUCAUCUCCGGGGGUAGAGCACUGUUUCGGCAAGGGGGUCAUCCCGACUUACCAACCCGAUGCAAACUGCGAAUACCGGAGAAUGUUAUCACGGGAGACACACGGCGGGUGCUAACGUCCGUCGUGAAGAGGGAAACAACCCAGACCGCCAGCUAAGGUCCCAAAGUCAUGGUUAAGUGGGAAACGAUGUGGGAAGGCCCAGACAGCCAGGAUGUUGGCUUAGAAGCAGCCAUCAUUUAAAGAAAGCGUAAUAGCUCACUGGUCGAGUCGGCCUGCGCGGAAGAUGUAACGGGGCUAAACCAUGCACCGAAGCUGCGGCAGCGACGCUGAUGCGUUGUUGGGUAGGGGAGCGUUCUGUAAGCCUGUGAAGGUGUGCUGUGAGGCAUGCUGGAGGUAUCAGAAGUGCGAAUGCUGACAUAAGUAACGAUAAAGCGGGUGAAAAGCCCGCUCGCCGGAAGACCAAGGGUUCCUGUCCAACGUUAAUCGGGGCAGGGUGAGUCGACCCCUAAGGCGAGGCCGAAAGGCGUAGUCGAUGGGAAACAGGUUAAUAUUCCUGUACUUGGUGUUACUGCGAAGGGGGGACGGAGAAGGCUAUGUUGGCCGGGCGACGGUUGUCCCGGUUUAAGCGUGUAGGCUGGUUUUCCAGGCAAAUCCGGAAAAUCAAGGCUGAGGCGUGAUGACGAGGCACUACGGUGCUGAAGCAACAAAUGCCCUGCUUCCAGGAAAAGCCUCUAAGCAUCAGGUAACAUCAAAUCGUACCCCAAACCGACACAGGUGGUCAGGUAGAGAAUACCAAGGCGCUUGAGAGAACUCGGGUGAAGGAACUAGGCAAAAUGGUGCCGUAACUUCGGGAGAAGGCACGCUGAUAUGUAGGUGAAGUCCCUCGCGGAUGGAGCUGAAAUCAGUCGAAGAUACCAGCUGGCUGCAACUGUUUAUUAAAAACACAGCACUGUGCAAACACGAAAGUGGACGUAUACGGUGUGACGCCUGCCCGGUGCCGGAAGGUUAAUUGAUGGGGUCAGCGCAAGCGAAGCUCUUGAUCGAAGCCCCGGUAAACGGCGGCCGUAACUAUAACGGUCCUAAGGUAGCGAAAUUCCUUGUCGGGUAAGUUCCGACCUGCACGAAUGGCGUAAUGAUGGCCAGGCUGUCUCCACCCGAGACUCAGUGAAAUUGAACUCGCUGUGAAGAUGCAGUGUACCCGCGGCAAGACGGAAAGACCCCGUGAACCUUUACUAUAGCUUGACACUGAACAUUGAGCCUUGAUGUGUAGGAUAGGUGGGAGGCUUUGAAGUGUGGACGCCAGUCUGCAUGGAGCCG
rnacentral:rRNA from 1 species